GACGAACGCUGGCGGCGUGCUUAACACAUGCAAGUCGAACGCUGAAGCUCAGCUUGCUGGGUGGAUGAGUGGCGAACGGGUGAGUAACACGUGAGUAACCUGCCCUCUUCUUUGGGAUAACGCCCGGAAACGGGUGCUAAUACUGGAUAUUCACUGAUUCUCGCAUGGGGGUUGGUGGAAAGGUUUGUUCUGGUGGGGGAUGGGCUCGCGGCCUAUCAGCUUGUUGGUGGGGUGAUGGCCUACCAAGGCUUUGACGGGUAGCCGGCCUGAGAGGGUGACCGGUCACAUUGGGACUGGGAUACGGCCCAGACUCCUACGGGAGGCAGCAGUGGGGAAUAUUGCACAAUGGGCGAAAGCCUGAUGCAGCGGCGCCGCGUGAGGGAUGGAGGCCUUCGGGUUGUAAACCUCUUUCGCUCAUGGUCAAGCCGCAGCUUUGGGUUGUGGUGAGGGUAGUGUGUAAAGAAGCGCCGGCUAACUACGUG
rnacentral:rRNA from 1 species